ensembl:lncRNA
AUGCGCAGUAGCCGGACUCGGCGGCUCUUCCGGUUAAAGGAUGACGUCAGGGACACGCGCAAGCAAGACGGUCUUUUCCGGUUCGGAGCGGCGAGGAGUGUGGCAGCUGAGACAUCGUGGCCCCGGAGAUCAGGCUCCUCAGGAGAUGUUGCUCCGUCAGAUGGAAGGUCUCUCUCUGGUUCUGGUUCAGCACUCAGGAGAUGUUUGCCAGCUCCUGCAGAUGCUGGUGAAUGUGGUCAUUAAUGGUGUUUGGGUCAGGAGGAGCGUCGAGCGUCUCAACAGUGCUGUCACCGUGAGUGUUCUUCUUACUGACUGAUUGUGAUUUCUAUGUUUCUGAUCAUAUCUACUCGAUCAGGUAGAGCGAGACUAGAGUCACAUCCUGAUGCUGCUCGUGGUCCUGGUGUGCUAUAGUUCUCGCAGAGUAACUCUCUGCUUAUUCAUUGGCUGCUGCUUUUCAUUGCCCAG